UGAUAUGUUGGAUAUUUGGUUG
rnacentral:miRNA from 1 species